rnacentral:rRNA from 1 species
UUNANNNNNNNNNAGUCGAACGGUAACAGGAAGAAAGCUUGCUUUCUUUGCUGACGAGUGGCGGACGGGUGAGUAAUGCUUGGGAAUCUGGCUUAUGGAGGGGGAUAACUACUGGAAACGGUAGCUAAUACCGCGUAAUGUCUACGGACUAAAAGGGGCGAAAGCUCUUGCCAUAAGAUGAGCCCAAGUGGGAUUAGGUAGUUGGUGAGGUAACGGCUCACCAAGCCGUCGAUCUCUAGCUGGUCUGAGAGGAUGACCAGCCACACUGGAACUGAGACACGGUCCAGACUCCUACGGGAGGCAGCAGUGGGGAAUAUUGCACAAUGGGGGAAACCCUGAUGCAGCCAUGCCGCGUGAAUGAAGAAGGCCUUCGGGUUGUAAAGUUCUUUCGGUGAUGAGGAAGGUGUAAUGGUUAAUACCCAUUACAAUUGACGUUAGUCACAGAAGAAGCACCGGCUAACUCCGUGCCAGCAGCCGCGGUAAUACGGAGGGUGCAAGCGUUAAUCGGAAUAACUGGGCGUAAAGGGCACGCAGGCGGUUGUUUAAGUGAGGUGUGAAAGCCCCGGGCUCAACCUGGGAAUUGCAUUUCAGACUGGACAACUAGAGUACUUUAGGGAGGGGUAGAAUUCCACGUGUAGCGGUGAAAUGCGUAGAGA